rnacentral:rRNA from 1 species
UACGAAGGGGGCUAGCGUUGUUCGGAAUUACUGGGCGUAAAGCGCACGUAGGCGGAUACUUAAGUCAGGGGUGAAAUCCCGGGGGCUCAACCCCGGAACUGCCUUUGAUACUGGGUAUCUCGAGUCCGGAAGAGGUGAGUGGAAUUCCGAGUGUAGAGGUGAAAUUCGUAGAUAUUCGGAGGAACACCAGUGGCGAAGGCGGCUCACUGGUCCGGUACUGACGCUGAGCUGCGAAAGCUAGGGGAGCAAACAGGG